rnacentral:rRNA from 1 species
GACGAACGCUGGCGGCGUGCUUAACACAUGCAAGUCGAACGGAAAGGCCCUGCUUUUUUGGGGUGCUCGAGUGGCGAACGGGUGAUUAACACGUGAGUAACCUGCCCUUGACUUUGGGAUAACUUCAGGAAACUGGGGCUAAUACCGGAUAGGAGCUCCUGCUGCAUGGUGGGGGUUGGAAAGUUUCGGCGGUUGGGGAUUGACUCGCGGCUUAUCAGCUUGUUGGUGGGGUAGUGGCUUACCAAGGCUUUGACGGGUAGCCGGCCUGAGAGGGUGACCGGCCACAUUGGGACUGAGAUACGGCCCAGACUCCUACGGGAGGCAGCAGUGGGGAAUAUUGCACAAUGGGCGGAAGCCUGAUGCAGCAACGCAGCGUGCGGGAUGACGGCCUUCGGGUUGUAAACCGCUUUCGCCUGUGACGAAGCGUGAGUGACGGUAAUGGGUAAAGAAGCACCGGCUAACUACGUG